UUGAGUGCAGUGAUGGUGUCUGCUAUAAUCGGAGCCAGGGGGCCUUGGGUUUUCUUUUGUGUCUGCCUGUGUAUAUUGUGUUUGUUUAUCCAAACAGCAGCUUGGAUUUGGAACAACAGCACACAGAUAAUGGAUAGUGAUUAGAUGAGUUUGUCUCUUUAGCUUCUACAAAUCAAGAGUGAAUCCCAGCUGGAUUUAUUUCUUCCAUCAGUAUAGCCCUGCAAGCCUCUGUGGUAUCAAACCCAAGGCUCUGAAAUAAUCACACCCUCUGCAAAAAAACAAACAAACCAAAAGACAAAAAAAAACCCAGCAGAAAGAGGGGUCAGGAAGUGACUUCAGACCAUCUCAACAGUCAGUUUGCAGCAGGUGUCACGUGCCAUUUCUUCCCCAAGACCUCCAUAGGACUACUUCAGCUUUACUUUUUCUAAAACAGUUUCUGAAUUUCAGAGAUGAUGGAAGGUGCAAAAACUCUUUGGCUGUUUCUCCUGCUCAACCACCUGCCACUCUGCCCUGUCGGUGCUGACGCAGUCCUUUCAACAACUCAAAUAUAUUCACAAGACUAUUCACAAGACCAAAGAAGCAGCCCCACACUUGCUGUGAGUACUACCCUCAGAACAAGUGAAGACAAAAACUCCAUCAAUGGCACUCGUGGUGACUGCUUGGUUGACACUGAGAUGGGUCUGAUUGCUAUAAGUUCAGCUGGAGGUCUCAUUGUGUGCUUGCUGGCUGCUACUGUGGUACUGGCAUGCCAGGUCUGCAGCCUUCAGCGCCAGGUUUAUGGCCCUCGCACCUCACGGUCCAACAUGGACUUAGUAAGCAGUACAGGCUACUGGGGCACAGACCAACCAGAGAUUGCAGGCCUGGUUGGACCAUAUGAUGCCAGUGUCAUGCUUGAGGAGGUGAAAGAAGACAAGACUGAGGAAGAGAGGCAGGCUGAAACAAAAGGGACAAUGGAGGACGAUGGGGCAGGACUCAAGGAAGGGGCAAUGGCAAUAGCGUUUAAUCCUGAGGACGAUCAAAGUCAUAUGCACAGCUCCAACUUCAAGGACUCCUGUUUGGAGAUUCCCAGGGAUUUAGAAGACAUGCCCCUUGUUGUGUAAGGAGGUAACCCUACUUCAGUAAAUCCAGUCACAUACACAACUAAUCAGUUUAGCUGAUUUAAAAUAUAUUAACUUGGCUUGUUUCAAUCACAUCCUUUCCAACAGAGAUGCACCAAUUGUUAAAUCAUGGGCAAAUAUAAAAUAAAAUAAACGAAUUAUAUUAAUGGAGAUUUUUUUAAAUUUUUAUUUUGCUCUUUUUUUGGACAGAAAUAAAUAACUUUGAAAGUCUUUCAAACGCAUUCAUGAAACGGACACAAGGAAAGAAAAAGCUAUAAUAGAGUGGUGACUGUUUUCUUAUUUGCUGAAGGCAGUCAACAAAGUGAGAAUGGAAAUUUGGUAAAUAAACUGAUAAAUUUUGUUGUUGCAUCACUAUUCCUGUUUAUUUUCAUCUUGUUAAAUGUAGGGCAUCAUAUGCAAUUUACUACAUUAGUGCUGACAGAAUAAAGAGCUUUGGGUGCACACACCAAAAAGCAUAGUUUUUGCUUAGAUAAGGAUACUUUUAACAUGUUACAUAGUUCUAUAUCUCGUAGUAAAUCUUUAAAGCCUGGUCCUGAGUGUUCAAUUAAAACAGAAAGAAAGAACGAAAGAAAGAAAGACAUCAUAACUUUUAAACACAUAACAUAGCACGGUCCAUAUUUGUUGUGCGCAUGAUUUGCAUCAGUAACAUAACAUAGCAUAAUAACUUACAUAAUGAACAAAAAGCAGAUUAACAAAAACAAGGUCAACAUACAUUCACAGUUUUGAAGAGAUAAUGGGCUAAAUUGAUAAUAGAAAUGCUGGAAACUUAACUCUGAAUCUGUUUCAGCUAUGUCUAAUCUUUUAAAUGAAUUUUCAACAAUUUAAUUAUUGGUUAUAACUUAAAUACUUGUAAUAUUUGCCAGUUUUUAAAUAAAUUGACCUUUGUAUUGGU